rnacentral:rRNA from 1 species
GAGGCUGCAGUGGGGAAUAUUGCGCAAUGGGCGGAAGCCUGACGCAGCGACGCCGCGUGGGGGAUGACGGCCUUCGGGUUGUAAACCUCUUUCGGCCUUGACGAAGCUCUUCGGGGUGACGGUAGGGGUAGAAGAAGCACCGGCCAACUACGUGCCAGCAGCCGCGGUAAUACGUAGGGUGCGAGCGUUGUCCGGAAUUAUUGGGCGUAAAGAGCUCGUAGGCGGUCUGUCGCGUCGGUCGUGAAAACUUGGGGCUUAACCCUGAGCUUGCGGUCGAUACGGGCAUGACUGGAGUUCGGCAGGGGAGACUGGAAUUCCUGGUGUAGCGGUGAAAUGCGCAGAUAUCAGGAGGAACACCGGUGGCGAAGGCGGGUCUCUGGGCCGAUACUGACGCUGAGGAGCGAAAGCGUGGGGAGCGAACAGGAUUAGAUACCCUGGUAGUCCACGCCGUAAACGGUGGGCGCUAGGUGUGGGGG